rnacentral:rRNA from 1 species
GUGCAAGCGUUGUCCGGAAUUAUUGGGCGUAAAGAGCUCGUAGGCGGUCUGUCGCGUCGGCUGUGAAAACCCGGAGCUCAACUCCGGGCCUGCAGUCGAUACGGGCAGACUGGAGUUCGGCAGGGGAGACUGGAAUUCCUGGUGUAGCGGUGAAAUGCGCAGAUAUCAGGAGGAACACCGGUGGCGAAGGUGGGUCGCUGGGCCGAUACUGACGCUGAGGAGCGAAAGCGUGGGGAGCGAACAGG